AAUUUUCUCUCUUUAUUCGAACUUUGUGAAAAAUAACCAAACAUUAGCAUUAUAUUUCAUUGACUGGUCUCUGGACCAUAAAUAAGGUUGAGAGUUCAAACUAUUAUUUGGACGAAACCAAUAUUAGGGCAUCUCCAUCAGUGAGAUACCUUCUUGGUUUAUCAAAAAAAA
rnacentral:sRNA from 1 species